rnacentral:rRNA from 1 species
UUAUCGGAGAGUUUGAUCCUGGCUCAGGACGAACGCUGGCGGCGUGCCUAAUACAUGCAAGUCGAGCGAACAGAUGGGAGCUUGCUCCCUGAUGUUAGCGGCGGACGGGUGAGUAACACGUGGGUAACCUGCCUGUAAG